CCGGCUUACGCCUGAUCACAGCAGCAUGAUACAAUAUCAAUUUAUCAUCCAUGAAUGAAACGAAUUGUUCUCAUCAUCACCAGCCUGACCAUUUUGGAGGCCUUGAGCGGAAAAAAAUGCGAGGGACCUUUUCCAAAUGUCAAUGCUAUAAACCGUCCUUUAUCCUAACUUGACUAACACGAAGAUCGAAGACAUAAAUCAUGACUCGCACAGCUCCGAUAAGCACAAAACCAAUACUGCCGGGACAAGAAAGACAAAGAAUGUCGUAAAAUAAUAAUAAUAUGAAGCCACAUAACACAUGUCUACUACCGAUGAGCAUAAAAACGACAAAGCUUCUACCGUUUCUUGAUCCUGCAAACCAGUUCGGCGCAUUACCUUUCCUUUAAAGGUUACGAUGAGAGGC
rnacentral:lncRNA from 1 species